rnacentral:rRNA from 1 species
UACGGAGGGGGCUAGCGUUGUUCGGAAUUACUGGGCGUAAAGCGCACGUAGGCGGACCGGAAAGUCAGAGGUGAAAUCCCAGGGCUCAACCUUGGAACGGCCUUUGAAACUCCUGGUCUUGAGUUCGAGAGAGGUGAGUGGAAUUCCGAGUGUAGAGGUGAAAUUCGUAGAUAUUCGGAGGAACACCAGUGGCGAAGGCGGCUCACUGGCUCGAUACUGACGCUGAGGUGCG